rfam:Populus trichocarpa scaffold_1_contig_396, whole genome shotgun sequence.
GAAAAUGAUGAUAAUUGUUGUCGCCCCAGUCUUACUUGCACUUUGAGAUGCAAGGUGGUGAUUGACUUUUGUUUGUCUGAUUC